rnacentral:rRNA from 1 species
CAGUAGCCACGGUAAUACGAAGGGGGCUAGCGUUGUUCGGAAUUACUGGGCGUAAAGGGCGCGUAGGCGGCCAUUCAAGUUAGAUGUGAAAGCCCUGGGCUCAACCUAGGAAUUGCAUUUGAUACUGUUUGGCUUGAGUUCGGGAGAGGUGAGUGGAAUUCCCAGUGUAGAGGUGAAAUUCGUAGAUAUUGGGAAGAACACCAGUGGCGAAGGCGGCUCACUGGACCGACACUGACGCUGAGGCGCGAAAGCGUGGGGAGCAAACAGGAUUAGAUACCCGCGUAGUCCCUGUCUCUUAUAC